AACAACCAGAAAACAAUUAAUACAAUGCCAAUCUGAGUCUUACCUAUUAAUAAUUACUCUAUGUGUAAGUAGAUUAAAAACUCCAAUCAAAAGACAGAGUAGCUAAAUGGAUUAAAAGAGAGAGAGAGACCCAACUAUAUGCUACCAAAAAGACUCACGAGCUUCAAUGACACAUACAGACUAAAGUUGGAUAGAAGAUAUUCCAUGCAAAUGGAAACCAAAAGAAAGCAAGGAUAGCUGUAUUUGUAUCAGACAAAACAGACUAAUUAUGUUGAAUUAAUGUGGCUACAGUGGGCCUAUAGAAACAAAGAAGGUGAUUAUAUAAUGAUGAAGAGGUAAAUUCAUCACGAGGACAUAACAAAUAUAAAUAUUUAUGCACCCAACACAGGAGCACCUAAAUAUAUAAAGCAAAUAUUAACAGAUUUGAAGGGAGAAACAGCAAUACAAUAACAGUAGGGAACUUUAAUUCUCCACUUUCAACAAUGGAUACAUACUUCAGAAAGAAAAUCAGUAAGAAAACAUUUGACUUAAACUAUAUAGCAGACCAGAUGGACCUAACAUAUAUACAGAACAUUCCAUCCAACAGCAGAAUACACAUUCUUCUCAAACAUACAUGGAACAUCUCCAGAAUAGAUCAUAUAUUAGGCCACAAGUCUUAACAAAUUUUUAAAAACUUAAAUUAUUCCAAGUAUCUUUUCCAAUCAUAAUGAUAGGACACUAGAAAUCAACAGAAGGAAAACCACAAAAUGCACAAAUAUGUGGAGAUUAAACAUGCUCCUGAACAACAAAUGGGUCAAAAGAAGAAAUCAAGGGGAAAAUUAAAAAAUAUCUUGAAACAAAUUAAAAUGAAAAUACAACAUACAAAAAUUUGUGAAACGUGGCAAAAACAGUUCCAAGAGGGAAGUUUACAGCAAUAAAUGCCUACAUUAAAAUAUCUCAAAUGAACAACCUAACUUUACACCUAAAAGAACAUGAAAAAGAAGAACUAAGCCCCAAAUCAAUGAUCCUAGUAUAGGCCCACUGUAGCCACAUUAAUUCAACAUAAUUCUGGAAGUCCUAGCAAAAGAAAUUAAGAGAAAGAAUUAAAAGGGAACUAAAUUGAAAAGGAAGAUUAAAUUGUACUUGCAGAUGACAUGAUGUCAUAUAGAAAACCAUUAAGAUUCCACAAAAAAAACAUUUAAAUUAAUAAAUUCAGUAGAUUUACAGAAUGCAAAGUCCAUAUACAAAAAACCAGCUGCAUUCCAUACACCAACAGCAUAGUUAUGAAAAGAGAACUUAAAAUAUUAUCUCCAAUAGCAUGAAAAAAAUAAAAUACUUAGGAAUAAAUUUAUCCAAGGAUGUGAAAGAUCUGUAUACUCAAACUACAAAACUGAUGAAAGAAACUGAGGACACAAAUAAAUGGAAAGAUAUUCUGUGUUCAUGGGUAGGAAGAGUAUUGCGAAAAUGUCUAUACUAUUCAAAAUGAUCUCCAGAUUCAAUGCAAUCCCCAUUAAAAUUCCAAUAGCACUUUUCCACAGAAAUAAGUCCUGAAACUUGGAUGGAACCACAAAGUCCCUGAAUAGCCAAAGCAACCCUGAGAAAGAACAAAAGUGGAAGCAUCACACUUCCUGAUUUCAAACCAUAUUACAAAGCUAUAGUAAUCAAAGCAGUAGGAUAUUUGUAUAAAAACAGAUAUAUAAAUUAAUGCAACAGAGAGGCCAGAAAUAAAUCCACGCAUAUAUAUUCAGUUAACUUUCAAAAAGGAAUCAAAAAGGCACAAUGAGACAAAGAUAGUUUCUUCAACAAAUGGUGUUAAGAAAACUGGAUAAACAUAUGCAAAA
rnacentral:lncRNA from 1 species